GUGGGGAAUAUUGGACAAUGGGCGCAAGCCUGAUCCAGUCAUGCCGCGUGAGUGAUGAAGGCCUUAGGGUUGUAAAGCUCUUUCACCGAUGAAGAUAAUGACGGUAGUCGGAGAAGAAGCCCCGGCUAACUUCGUGCCAGCAGCCGCGGUAAUACGAAGGGGGCUAGCGUUGUUCGGAUUUACUGGGCGUAAAGCGCACGUAGGCGGUUUGUUAAGUCAGGGGUGAAAUCCCGGAGCUCAACUCCGGAACUGCCUUUGAUACUGGCAAGCUAGAGUCCGGAAGAGGUAAGUGGAACUCCUAGUGUAGAGGUGGAAUUCGUAGAUAUUAGGAAGAACACCAGUGGCGAAGGCGGCUUACUGGUCCGGAACUGACGCUGAGGUGCGAAAGCGUGGGGAGCAAACAGGAUUAGAAACCCCUGUAGUCC
rnacentral:rRNA from 1 species